rnacentral:rRNA from 1 species
UACGUAGGUGGCAAGCGUUGUCCGGAAUUAUUGGGCGUGAAGCGCGCGCAGGCGGUUCCUUAAGUCUGAUGUGAAAGCCCCCGGCUCAACCGGGGAGGGUCAUUGGAAACUGGGGAACUUGAGUGCAGAAGAGAAGAGCGGAAUUCCACGUGUAGCGGUGAAAUGCGUAGAGAUGUGGAGGAACACCAGUGGCGAAGGCGGCUCUUUGGUCUGUAACUGACGCUGAGGCGCGAAAGCGUGGGGAGCAAACAGG